rnacentral:rRNA from 1 species
GAUCAAAUCAAGCGCGAAAAGGGCGUUUGGUGAAUGCCUUGGCAGUAAGAGGCGAUGAAAGACGUGAUACUCUGCGAUAAGCCAUGGGGAGCUGAGAAUAAGCUUUGAUCCAUGGAUUUCUGAAUGGGGCAACCCACCUGAUACUGUGUUAUUACUAUCCUUCGGGAUGGCUAAUAAUGCGGUAAAACAGGUACUUAUAGACUGAAUAUAUAGGUUUAUAAGAGCAAACCCGGGGAACUGAAACAUCUAAGUACCCGGAGGAAAGGAAAUCAAUUGAUACUCCCCUAGUAGCGGCGAGCGAACGGGGACCAGCCGAGCCUUGAGUGUGAAUAGAACGUGUUGGGAAGCACGGCCAUAGUGGGUGAUAGCCCCGUAUAUGAAGCAUGAUAGGACGUAUUAAGUAGGGCGGAACACGUGAAAUUCUGUCUGAAGAUCGGAGGACCACCUUCGAAGGCUAAGUACUCCUUACUGACCGAUAGUGAACCAGUACCGUGAGGGAAAGGUGAAAAGCACCCCGACGAGGGGAGUGAAACAGUACCUGAAACCGAACGCCUACAAUCAGUCGGAGCUUGACUGGACUCUAAUGACAAUCUGCUUCAUCACACAUGUGAAAACACAUGGGGGAUGAAACAUGUCAGAUCUAGCAUUCAUUACGGACGGAACCUUUGGGGUUCUGUUCAUUCUUGCCGGCAUCAUUGAUGCAGGUGUGAAUCACUGUGGUAAUGAAGGGUGCCUGGCGAAAAAUGAUGUCCAAGCCUAUAACAGCAUCUCUGUUGGAGCUACGACGUUCCAAGAGAAUGAGGUUGGCGAGGAAAUCUACUUUCGCCGUGACACCAGUGUCGCUUCUGGUCCGUUUCAAUGGAUCUAUGGCGCAUCUGCAACCAGCGAUGGAGAGCUUUGGGCUGGCCUUGGCCAAGCCCUGACAUACUCCACACGCAAUGAUCGGUUUUAUACUCAACUACACUCAAUGAUUGGCCUUUAUGAAAAGGGCAGUGGAGUGGAUUUAGGUGGACCGAUCGAAUUUAGAUCUGGGAUCGAGUUCGGAUAUCAAAACAAAGUUGGCACGCGUAUGGCCAUCAGCUUUGAUCACCGCUCGAAUGCAGGGAUCUACAGCCUGAACCCCGGUCUUGAGACCGUUCAGUUCAGAGUGUCUAUCCCAACAAAAUGAUUGUUAUCAGUGUCCAGUCUUGUGACGGCGUACCUUUUGUAUAAUGGGUCAUCGACUUAGUGUAUCUAGCAAGCUUAAGCCGUUAGGUGUAGGCGUAGCGAAAGCGAGUCUUAAUAGGGCGAAUGAGUUAGAUGCAUUAGACCCGAAACCGAGUGAUCUAGGCAUGACCAGGUUGAAGGUUAGGUAACACUAACUGGAGGACCGAACCCACACCUGUUGAAAAAGGUCGGGAUGAGUUGUGCCUAGGGGUGAAAGGCCAAUCAAACUCGGAGAUAGCUGGUUCUCUGCGAAAACUAUUUAGGUAGUGCGUCAUCCGAAUACCCUCGGGGGUAGAGCACUGGAUGGGUAAUGGGGCCCCACAGGCUUACUGAUCCUAACCAAACUCCGAAUACCGAGAAGUACUAGAUGGCAGACAGACUGCGGAUGCUAACGUCCGUAGUCGAGAGGGAAACAACCCUGACCUACAGCUAAGGCCCCUAAUUCAUGGCUAAGUGGGAAAGCAGGUGGGACGACCAAAACAACCAGGAGGUUGGCUUAGAAGCAGCCAUCCUUUAAAGAUAGCGUAACAGCUCACUGGUCUAAAUAAGUUGUCCUGCGGCGAAGAUGUAACGGGGCUCAAGCCAUGAGCCGAAGCUUAGGAUGUGCAGUAAUGCACGUGGUAGCAGAGCGUAGUGUGACAUAGUUCCAUGUCUCUUUAGUGACCUCGGUCAUUACGGAGACAAGGAGCUUUCGAUGAAGCGGGCGCGUGAGCGAUCCCGUGGAGAGAUCACUAGUGAGAAUGAUGACAUGAGUAGCGACAAACAGUGUGAGAGACACUGUCGCCGAAAGUCCAAGGGUUCCUGCUUAAAGCUAAUCUGAGCAGGGUAAGCCGACCCCUAAGGCGAGGCCGAAAGGCGUAGUCGAUGGGAACCAGGUUAAUAUUCCUGGGCCAGAUGGAAGUGACGGAUCGUGAAGAUUGUUCACCCUUAUUGGAUUGGGUGGGCCGUUAAUCGGUUCCUGGAAAUAGCUCCAUCAUGAGAUCGUACCCUAAACCAACACAGGUGGACUGGUAGAGAAUACCAAGGCGCUUGAGAGAACGAUGUUGAAGGAACUCGGCAAAAUACCUCCGUAAGUUCGCGAGAAGGAGGCCCAGUUUCUACGCAAGUAUUGGCUGGGGGCACAAACCAGGGGGUGGCGACUGUUUACUAAAAACACAGGGCUCUGCGAAGUCGCAAGACGACGUAUAGGGUCUGACGCCUGCCCGGUGCCUGAAGGUUAAAAGGAGGGGUGAGAGCUCUGAAUUGAAGCCCAGGUAAACGGCGGCCGUAACUAUAACGGUCCUAAGGUAGCGAAAUUCCUUGUCGGGUAAGUUCCGACCUGCACGAAUGGCGUAACGACUUCCCCGCUGUCUCCAACAUCGACUCAGCGAAAUUGAAUUACCUGUCAAGAUGCAGGUUUCCCGCGGUUAGACGGAAAGACCCCGUGCACCUUUACUACAGCUUCGCACUGGCUUCAGACACAACAUGUGCAGGAUAGGUGGUAGACUUUGAAGCAGGGACGCUAGUCUCUGUGGAGUCGCCCUUGAGAUACCACUCUUGUUCUGUUUGAAGUCUAACCGCGGUCCGUUAUCCGGAUCCGGGACCCUGCGUGGCGGGUAGUUUGACUGGGGCGGUCGCCUCCUAAAGCGUAACGGAGGCGCGCGAAGGUUGGCUCAGAGCGGUCGGAAAUCGCUCGUUGAGUGCAAUGGCAGAAGCCAGCCUGACUGCGAGACUGACAAGUCGAGCAGAGUCGAAAGACGGCCAUAGUGAUCCGGUGGUCCCGAGUGGAAGGGCCAUCGCUCAACGGAUAAAAGGUACGCCGGGGAUAACAGGCUGAUACUGCCCAAGAGUCCAUAUCGACGGCAGUGUUUGGCACCUCGAUGUCGGCUCAUCUCAUCCUGGGGCUGGAGCAGGUCCCAAGGGUACGGCUGUUCGCCGUUUAAAGAGGUACGUGAGCUGGGUUUAGAACGUCGUGAGACAGUUCGGUCCCUAUCUGCCGUGGGUGUAGGAUACUUGAGAGGAGUUGCCCCUAGUACGAGAGGACCGGGGUGAACGUUCCACUGGUGGACCAGUUGUCGUGCCAACGGCAGUGCUGGGUAGCUAUGAACGGACAGGAUAACCGCUGAAGGCAUCUAAGCGGGAAGCCCCCCUCAAAACAAGGUAUCCCUGAGAGCCGUGGUAGACCACCACGUCGAUAGGCCAGAGAUGUAAGCGCAGCAAUGCGUUCAGUUGACUGGUACUAAUUGCUCGAUAGGCUUGAUUUGAUCCAG